UGAACCUUUCCAUCGCGGUGUCUUAUCCCAGGGCAGAACCUCAGUAGAAGGAGCCGCCAUCUUAGCGGGAAGGCGGGAAGCUCGCGCCGCGCGGCCGCUUCAAACGGUGACCAACGGUCGGCGGCGGUGGACAGGGCGGCGGGUUGUCUUCUUGUGCAUCGCUAACGGCGGACCAAAAAGCCGCUCGGAGUCACCGUGUAAUUAGACGAAACGUCAGCAUGGACUGGAUGUCGUCGAUUGCAAUAAUCAUCUUCAUACUUUGUAAUUUACUUCAGUUUCUGAAUUUUACAGGUAGUGUAUAUAUCUGGUUCUUUUUCUGUGCACUUUGUUGCAGUUUUCUCUACAUGUAUAUAAUGCUUAAAGUGUUGAAAACUGAAACCUUCAAUAAAGUAUGCUGUGG